GACGAACGCUGGCGGCGUGCUUAACACAUGCAAGUCGAACGGGCCCGCCCCUGUUUUUGGGGGUGGGUUGAGUGGCGAACGGGUGAGUAUCACGUGAGUAACCUGCCCCCUGCUCCUGGAUAACUGCUUGAAAGGGCGGCUAAUACGGGGUGUGCCGGCUGGUCCGCAUGGGCCUGGUCGGGAUAGUUUCAUCUUCGGGUGUUUCGGUGGGGGAUGGGCUCGCGGCCUAUCAGCUUGUUGGUGGGGUGAUGGCCCACCAAGGCGGUGACGGGUAGCCGGCCUGAGAGGGUGGGCGGCCACGCUGGGACUGAGACACGGCCCAGACUCCUGCGGGAGGCAGCAGUGGGGGGUAUUGCACAAUGGGCGGAAGCCUGAUGCAGCGACGUCGCGUGAGGGAUGGAGGCCGUCGGGUUGUGAACCUCUUUCUCCGGUGGUGAAGGCCCUGUCCGUUGCGGCGGGGUUGACGGUAGCCGGGUAUGAAGCGCCGGCUAACUACGUG
rnacentral:rRNA from 1 species